GGCUCAUUAGCUCAGUUGGUUAGAGCGUAGUGCUAAUAACGCGAAGGUAACAAGUUUGAGACUUGCAUGGGCCC